AGGAUUGUAUUAGUGGAAAUUCAAUUUCAUUCCAGCCAAGCUAAAUAAGGUUUUUGUAAUGUUAGCUAAUUAUGCAGGGUUUUGAGACUGUCAGUUACAGGUAUACUUUGUCUCAAAGCUAUUCAAUUACUUGAUUACUAUUAGGUUUAAUUGUAAAGAAAUUGAAGUUGAGUUUUUUGGAUUUUAA